rnacentral:tRNA from 1 species
GCGGGUAUGGUGGAAUGGCAGUCACGCCAGGCUUAGGACCUGGUGGUCGCAAGACCGUGGGGGUUCAAGUCCCUCUACCCGCACCA